rnacentral:tRNA from 2 species
CAAAAUGUGGCUAAAUCAGUAAAGCACCUCCCUUACACCGAGAAGAUAUCCGCGCAAUUCGGAUCAUUUUGA